rnacentral:rRNA from 1 species
UUUUGGACAAUGGGCGAAAGCCUGAUCCAGCAAUGCCGCGUGCAGGAUGAAGGCCCUCGGGUUGUAAACUGCUUUUGUACGGAACGAAACGGUUCUCCUUAAUACGGGGGGCUAACGACGGUACCGUAAGAAUAAGCACCGGCUAACUACGUGCCAGCAGCCGCGGUAAUACGUAGGGUGCGAGCGUUGUUCGGAGUUACUGGGCGUAAAGCGCACGUAGGCGGCUUUGUAAGUUAGAGGUGAAAGCCUGGAGCUCAACUCCAGAAUUGCCUUUGAUACUGCAUCGCUUGAAUCCAGGAGAGGUGAGUGGGAUUCCGAGUGUAGAGGUGAGAUUCGUAGAUAUUCGGAAGAACACCAGUGGCGAAGGCGGCUCACUGGAGCUGGUAUUGACGCUGAGGUGCGAAG